rnacentral:rRNA from 1 species
CUUGAACGCUGGCGGCAGGCCUAACACAUGCAAGUCGCACGAGUAGCGGACGGGUGAGUAAUAUCUGGGAACAUGCCCGAUGGAGGGGGAUAACUCAUGGAAAAAGUAGCACAUAACGCAUAAAAUCGGCUGAGCCCAGAUGGGAGUAGCGAGUGGGUGGGGUAACGGCUCACCUAGGCGACGAUCCAUAGCUGGUCUGAGAGGAUGACCAGCAACACGGGAACUGAGACACGGUCCAGACUCCUACGGUAGGCAGCAUUGGGGAAUAUUGCACAAUGGGCGCAAGCCUGAUGCAGCCAUGCCGCGUGUAUGAAGAAGGCCUUCGGGUUGUAAAGUACUUUCAGCGAGGAGGCGUUACUCGCAGAAGAAGCACCGGCUAACUCCGUGCCAGCAGCCGCGGUAAUAC